rfam:Angustibacter sp. Root456 contig_7, whole genome shotgun sequence.
CCUCGUCCGCUCGUCGUGGUCUCCACCCGCUCCCGACGUCCUGGCGCACCUUCCCCGGUGCCAGGCCGCUCGGAGCGGUUGGGGACCAGGCCGAGCGGCCGUGUCCUU